rnacentral:rRNA from 1 species
UACAGAGGGGGCCAGCGUUAUUCGGAAUUAUUGGGCGUAAAGCGCGUGUAGGCGGCAGCGUGUGUCGGGCGUGAAAUCCCACGGCUCAACCGUGGAAGUGCACCCGAAACUGCGCAGCUAGAGUCCUGGAGAGGAAGGCGGAAUACUUGGUGUAGAGGUGAAAUUCGUAGAUAUCAAGUGGAACACCGGUGGCGAAGGCGGCCUUCUGGACAGUGACUGACGCUGAGACGCGAAAGCGUGGGGAGCAAACAGG